AAACUGAAGAGUUUGAUCAUGGCUCAGAUUGAACGCUGGCGGCAGGCUUAACACAUGCAAGUCGAGCGGUAACAGAUCUAGCUUGCUAGAUGCUGACGAGCGGCGGACGGGUGAGUAACGCGUAGGAACCUGCCCAGUAGUGGGGGAUAGCCCGGUGAAAACCGGAUUAAUACCGCAUACGCUCUACGGAGGAAAGGGGGCUUCGGCUCUCGCUAUUGGAUGGGCCUGCGUGAGAUUAGCUAGUUGGUGAGGUAAUGGCUCACCAAGGCGACGAUCUCUAGCUGGUCUGAGAGGAUGAUCAGCCACACUGGGACUGAGACACGGCCCAGACUCCUACGGGAGGC
rnacentral:ncRNA from 1 species